GCAGUGGUAGUUUAGGGUAGAAUUCUUGCCUUCCCUGCAGGAGAGCCAGGUUCAAUUCCUGACCAAUGUA
rnacentral:tRNA from 1 species